AUGAAGUUGACCUCUCUGAACUUUUGUUCCUCGUCAGUAAAAGACAUACAAAUUAGAACUGUUGGUAGAAACAGAGAGGCAGGAAGCGCGAGGUCAGUGCCCCAGUGCAGACGCUUCUUGUUAAUCACGCAGGAAGGAGCCCCAAGCUCAGCGUCAAGGGGCUCGGGCCAGGUGUUCAGAAGAUCCAUCCUGCUCUUGCGUCCAAGGGCAGAAAGGCUGCCUCCCCCCGCCCGGAAGCCAGAGACGGACGGCUGCCUGGAGGAGGUGGCAUUUCAGCUUAACUUUAACGGAAAAGAGCCGGCGCGGUUAUGGCGAAUCUGCGGCAUCCAACAUGGCGGAUGGAGUCUUCGCCCUCCUCUUCCCGGGGCGCUGACGUCGGCGUCGCGGACGUCAGGCUCGGAUGACCCUCCCCCCCAGCGGCGAGAGCGGCCGGGCUCGGUCGGGCCACUGCGCGUGCGCCGACUCCAUAUCCCGGCUUAGCCAUCCGGUUCCGCGGAUUUGCCGGCUCCGCGUUUUGAGCCUCUCCCGGAAAGGGGCUCACGGGAGGCCGGGAGUGAGGACUGCAGAAGCGCGAGUCUACCCUGCUCUGCCCGGAGCCGGCGUCUGCCUGCCAGCCCCAUCCUUGGACCGCACCGGGCUGGACGAAAAAGGAGAGUUUCCGCUUUCUUGUCCCAGUUCUCAGCGACUUGACUUUUCUUGGCUUUCAUUUAUUUACUAAAUUGUCAGUCGGGGCGGUCACAGCCGGCCUCGCUCACUCUCUUUCCAAGGUUGCACUGUUUGCAGAUGCUUUCCGCUAGGAAUCAGUUCAGUUCAGUCGCUCAGUCGUGUCCGACUCUGCACUGCAGCGCGUCAGACCUCCCUGUCCAUCACCAACUCCCGGAGUUUACGCAAACUCCUGUCCAUCGAGUCGGCGAUGCCAUCCAAACCAUCUCAUCCUCUCUUGUCCCCUUCUUCUCCUGCCUUCAGUCUUUCCCAGCAUCAGGGUCUUUUCCAGUGAGUCAGUUCUUCGCAUCAGGUGGCCAAAGGAUUGGAGCUUCAGCUUAGAUUUAGUCUUACAGAUAGAAUUCAGCAGCUGGAACCCCCUCGACCGAGCGCCUGCCUCUCCACGCUCUAGACUAUCUUGCAGAAAGUGUCGGCUGGCUGUGAGCCCGCCACUCCAUCACUUACCCCUCUCCGUGAAUCUGGCUCGCAGCCUUCUUUCUGCAAGCCACAGCAUCUGCUUGAGUUGUAAUGACCUCCUUUUCCUUUUCGGUCUACCACUUUCUUCAGAUAUCUGCUCAAAUGACAUACUGUAGCGGGCCCUGCCGGGCCACCCCAUCCAAAGGAACCUUCCUAAGUCACUCUGUUUUCUCCAUAGGAUUUAUUAACUGUCUGACAUUAAUUUAUCCUGGUUUCAUCCUGGUCACCCCUUUGGCCACCAAAACUAGGAACAGCUUGACAGUGAUUUAUUAAAUUAAUGAGUUCCUGUUGCUUUUAUUUUAAAGGUUUGCUUCUGUUUAUAGCAAAUAAUGUAAUUUUUGGUAGUAAUCGUGUAAAGUUUUCUUUUUAAAUCCAACUUGUUUACAUUUUCUAAAAUUAGUCGACUUAAAAUGGUUUUAUGUGGUAACAGAGAUAAAUGUGAAAGUGAACUUGAAGUGAAAAAUUUGGGAAAUACUGAUUUGUUUUUCUGGUUCUUCUGAAAUACUAAUCUUUGCCUGUUGUAAGCCUUUUCCUGAAAUAACUUCCCCUCUUUUGCGGCUCAGUUUAAGGAAUUCUCUUUCAGCUCAUGACUGUUCCCACACUCCUGCUCACACUUCGGGCCUGCACCAUCCCAAGCCCACUGCAUUUAUCUGUUUACACAGCCCCCUCCCAACGCAUCUAGACUAUGAACUUCUUGAGCACAGAAGCCACGCAGAUUGUUUUAUCUUUGUUUCCAGCUCCUACUGCACUGUUACUCAGUGAACACAUUUGUUCUCAUUGGCACUUGUUUUAUAGUUAGUAAAACUCCCACGAACAUCCCACAACUCUGGGAGAUGGUGAGCGACAGUUCCCUGGCGUGCCGCAGUCCAUGGGGUCGCGAAGAAUUGGCUGCGACACGGCGACUGAACAGCAGCACAGAGCAUUGAGCUGGAGGAUGAUGCUUGGAUUUAUUGGAAACCUUGUCUUGCUCCUUAACCCUGUUCUUGGAAAAUAGAGACUCAAGAUUAUAAGACCCCAAAUUUACCCAGUCCAUUAAAUAUAACUUAAGAGGUAUCCCUCCCCCCACCCCUUCCUUUUCACAACAAUAGGAGGGCUAAAUUGGACAAAUAAGAAUAUCCUUCUUUGCAAGAAGAGAAAAGUGUGCAGAGAGGUUAGGUGGCUUUCUGACCUCAUACAGCAGGUCAGUGACAACCCAGGUGUAGACCUGGUCUCCAUGCCCAGUACUUUCCCCACAUCGCAUGUGGGAUAUGUCCACACUACCCACCCAUCCCCAAAAGGGCCACUUCAAGGCAAUCCUAGGGUUAUUGCUACACACCCACCGCCUCCCACAGUGCUUCCAAGUCUCAAGAUAGAUGGCUGAGUGGAACUCAUCACAGUCUUUGAUUUGCAAAUGAACUGCUCAAAAAGCUGCACGGAUGAGUGUUCCCUUUCAGACGGAUAAAUAUUUGCAAUAACCACUAUUUUGCUGUGAAUCAAUUUCCGUCAGGAAAUUAGAGUUGUUCUGAUUGCUGACAGUAUUGGUUUUGUGCUGGGUUGCCUUUCUAACAACAGUAUUUAAAUGUUAUUGAUUAACCGACGGGUUACUCCUGGAUGUUGUGACCAAAAUGAAUUUUGGAAAUGAAGCAAUUUAAAAUUUGUCUCAAACCCAGUUGCCUCAGAAUAUUAAUAAAGUCAAAUUUUUAAAAAAAAUAGUGGAUUGU
rnacentral:lncRNA from 1 species